rnacentral:rRNA from 1 species
GGGUUCGAUUAAGCCAUGCGAGUCGAGAGGGUUCGGCCCUCGGCGUACUGCUCAGUAACACGUGGAUAACCUGCCCUAGGGAAGGGGAUAACCCCGGGAAACUGGGGAUAAUACCCUAUAGAUUACAGAUGCUGGAAUGCCCUGUAAUCCAAAGUUCCGACGCCCUAGGAUGGAUCUGCGGCCGAUUAGGUUGUUGUUGGGGUAAUGGCCCAACAAGCCCGUAAUCGGUACGGGUUGUGGGAGCAAGAGCCCGGAGUUGGAUUCUGAGACACGAAUCCAGGCCCUACGGGGCGCAGCAGGCGCGAAAACUUUACAAUGCGGGCAACCGUGAUAAGGGAACCUCGAGUGCCUGUAAAUGCAGGCUGUUCAGGUGCCUAAAACACACCUGAAGAAAGGGCCGGGCAAGACCGGUGCCAGCCGCCGCGGUAAUACCGGCGGCUCGAGUGGUGGCCGCUUUUAUUGGGCUUAAAGCGUUCGUAGCUGGGUUGUUAAGUCUCUUGGGAAAUCUGGCGGCUUAACCGUCAGGCGUCUAAGGGAUACUGGCAAUCUUGGAACCGGGAGAGGUGAGAGGUACUUCGGGGGUAGGAGUGAAAUCCUGUAAUCCUCGAGGGACCACCUGUGGCGAAGGCGCCUCACCAGAACGGCUUCGACAGUGAGGGACGAAAGCUGGGGGAGCAAACCGGAUUAGAUACCCGGGUAGUCCCAGCCGUAAACUAUGCGCGUUAGGUGUAUCGGUGACCACGAGUUACCGAGGUGCCGAAGGGAAACCGUGAAACGUGCCGCCUGGGAAGUACGGUCGCAAGGCUGAAACUUAAAGGAAUUGGCGGGGGAGCACCACAACAGGUGGAGCCUGCGGUUUAAUUGGACUCAACGCCGGGAAGCUCACCGGAUAAGACAGCAGAAUGAUUGCCGGGCUGAAGACUCUGCAUGACUAGCUGAGAGGAGGUGCAUGGCCGUCGUCAGUUCGUACUGUGAAGCAUCCUGUUAAGUCAGGCAACGAGCAAGACCCACGCCAACAGUUGCCAGCAUGGUCUCCGGACUGAUGGGGACACUGUUGGGACCGCCUCUGCUAAAGAGGAGGAAGGAAUGGGCAACGGUAGGUCAGCAUGCCCCGAAUUAUCCGGGCUACACGCGGGCUACAAUGGGCAGGACAAUGGGCAUCGACACCGAAAGGUGAAGGCAAUCUUCUAAACCUGUCCUUAGUUCGGAUUGUGGGCUGCAACUCGCCCACAUGAAGCUGGAAUCUGUAGUAAUCGCGUUUCAAAAUAACGCGGUGAAUUUGUCCCUGCUCCUUGCACACACCGCCCGUCAAACCACCCGAGUGGGGUUGGAUGAGGUUGCGGUUGUUGCCGCAGU